rnacentral:rRNA from 1 species
AUGGGAGCUUGCUCCCUGAUGUUAGCGGCGGACGGGUGAGUAACACGUGGGUAACCUGCCUGUAAGACUGGGAUAACUCCGGGAAACCGGGGCUAAUACCGGAUGCUUGUUUGAACCGCAUGGUUCAAACAUAAAAGGUGGCUUCGGCUACCACUUACAGAUGGACCCGCGGCGCAUUAGCUAGUUGGUGAGGUAACGGCUCACCAAGGCAACGAUGCGUAGCCGACCUGAGAGGGUGAUCGGCCACACUGGGACUGAGACACGGCCCAGACUCCUACGGGAGGCAGCAGUAGGGAAUCUUCCGCAAUGGACGAAAGUCUGACGGAGCAACGCCGCGUGAGUGAUGAAGGUUUUCGGAUCGUAAAGCUCUGUUGUUAGGGAAGAACAAGUACCGUUCGAAUAGGGCGGUACCUUGACGGUACCUAACCAGAAAGCCACGGCUAACUACGUGCCAGCAGCCGCGGUAAUACGUAGGUGGCAAGCGUUGUCCGGAAUUAUUGGGCGUAAAGGGCUCGCAGGCGG